AUUGACGUUGCGUCUGGACGCAUCCUUAGAAUAUAAACAACAGAGAUUUGAUCAGGUGUUAUUUUUUACUGAAAACACAUACAUCAGAUGCCUUCUUAAAAAUCAAUUUGAAUGAUGCAUUUACUCUGGUAAGCCAUGUGACUUGGGUUAAUUUUCCAACUCACAUUGAUUUGAUGCACUUGUCAAAAGUGCCCUAGGCAUUAGAAUGGAUGCUGGUUUACUGCCAGAAGGUGUUCAUUACACAAGUAUUCGAGCUUGCUAUAAAACAAAUGUAGAUAAGGGAUCUGUUUAUCGCAUACUUAUCACUGCAGUACAGCCAGCAACAGUUCCUAACAAUUUAUCCCUUCCAGAUCUCAUCUUUAAAAAUGCCUAAUUCAAACCAAAUACUGUCCAGCAUCAGCAGUGGUUAUUGUGGUAGCAAGCUCGACAUGAGAGAAGUUUGAGCGAUGGCAGACCUGAGCUGCCUGACGUGUUGACUGUCAUAAGAAGGCAGAGAAGUCAAUUGGAGAGUGCUGCUACGGACUGUUAGUCUUGAAGACUGUAUUUGCCUGACAAAGGUGACACUCCUAGUCAUAUACCUAGUUCGCAGAGGUUCAGCCAGCAUACUAUCCAGCUACUGAAGGUAUGUGAAUUGGCUUCUCCAAGUGGAAAAACCUAAGGUAGCGAGUGACUCUGAGCGUUGUGCAUCACCGAUACCAGCCAUCGUUCUGGAAGAAGGAGGACACGCCUGUUCGGAAGAAGCUGUCACUGCCAGGUUUACCAAGCUCAAUAUAACUGAAAGUUUUGCAUCUGAGAUUCACAGCACGAGUAAUCAGCUUACUUUGCCAAAAGACAAGACAAAACAUCAGAGGACAUCCUCAACAUCGCGCGAUGGAGAUUACAAGUCGUGUUCAGAAUAUGAGACCAAUACGGGUCAUUUGCGCAUCUGUCUUGUUUGUUUUCGCGAGAGAAGUGUGUAUGAUGAUUCGGUAACUGGUAACGAAGCCGAUUUUCGUAAGUCCAUCGACAAGCC